rnacentral:tRNA from 1 species
AACGGAUGGAGCAGUCUGGUAGCUCGUCGGGCUCAUAACCCGAAGGUCGUAGGUUCAAAUCCUGCUCCCG